GAGUAAGAUUUGGGAAACUACCUGAUAGAGGGGGACAACAGUUGGAAACGACUGCUAAUACCGCAUACAGCCUCAGGGUGAAAGAAGGAAUUCGCUAUCAGAUGUGCCCAAACGGGAUUAGCUAGUAGGUGAGGUAAAGGCUCACCUAGGCGACGAUCUCUAGCUGGUCUGAGAGGAUGAUCAGCCACAUUGGGACUGAGACACGGCCCAGACUCCUACGGGAGGCAGCAGUAGGGAAUAUUGCACAAUGGAGGAAACUCUGAUGCAGCCAUGCCGCGUGUGUGAAGAAGGCCUUCGGGUUGUAAAGCACUUUCGGAGGGGAGGAAAGAAUGACGUUACCCUCAGAAGAAGCACCGGCUAACUCCGUG
rnacentral:rRNA from 1 species